rnacentral:ncRNA from 1 species
UCCGACCGGCCGGACACGCAUGUGACCGGCCCACAAGUGGAGGCUCCGAUCUCCCACCCGGCCGACCUCAGGGUUGGCGGGUCAACGGUCCGGCUGCGCCCCGCGAGACAUCGCGGCGGUGCUCCAGAUCUAUGUGGAGCCCCGCCUGUGUCCCGUCCGGGGCAUUUUUC